rnacentral:piRNA from 2 species
GAUAGCUCAGUUGGUAGAGCGGAGGACUG